rfam:Neocallimastix californiae strain G1 LY90scaffold_80, whole genome shotgun sequence.
GGGGAUAUAACUCAGUGGUAGAGUGCUUGCUUUGCAUGCAAGAAGCCUCGGCUUCGAUCCCCGAUAUCUCCA